rnacentral:rRNA from 1 species
GCUUGAAUAUUAUGAGUUAUGGGCUUUAAAUUCAAAGAAUUUGGCGGUAUUCUAGUCUUGUUAGAGGAACCUGUUCUGUAAACGAUAUUACACGUAGAAUCUUACUUACUUUUGUUUUUCAGUUUGUAUACCGUCAUUAUUAGAUAACCUUUAUUGAGAGAGUUAUUGAUUUAUAAAAAAUUAAAUAUAUUAGAUCAAGGUGCAGUUCAUGGGUAAGAAGAAAUGGGUUACAAUGAAAUUAAUUUAGACGUAUUGGUAAUUGAAAAAAUUGUCAUGAAGGAGGAUUUAAUUGUAAUAUAAAUUUAAUAAGUUUAUGUGAUAUGAGAACUAGAAUAUGUACAUAU